rnacentral:rRNA from 1 species
CCUACGGGUGGCAGCAGUGGGGAAUAUUGCACAAUGGGCGCAAGCCUGAUGCAGCGACGCCGCGUGAGGGAUGACGGCCUUCGGGUUGUAAACCUCUGUUAGCAUCGAAGAAGCGAAAGUGACGGUAGGUGCAGAGAAAGCGCCGGCUAACUACGUGCCAGCAGCCGCGGUAAUACGUAGGGCGCGAGCGUUGUCCGGAAUUAUUGGGCGUAAAGAGCUUGUAGGCGGUUGGUCGCGUCUGCUGUGAAAGGCUGGGGCUUAACCCUGGUUUUGCAGUGGGUACGGGCUAACUAGAGUGCAGUAGGGGAGACUGGAAUUCCUGGUGUAGCGGUGGAAUGCGCAGAUAUCAGGAGGAACACCGAUGGCGAAGGCAGGUCUCUGGGUUGUAACUGACGCUGAGAAGCGAAAGCAUGGGGAGCGAACAGGAUUAGAUACCCCUGUAGUC